ACAUCAUGGUGCAUGUGCAGCAGUAAAUCACUCAUUUUGAAACUCAUAAAAGCCAAAGCUUCUCAUCUAGAUUAGGUUUUGGUGCUUUGCCAGUUUCCACAAGAGACUAGCAAGAGAAAGGAAACAGCAUUUUUUAGUAACUUGACUGCAAUCUAACAAAACAAAAGAAAGGCUCAUCUCUUAUCUCAGAGCUUUCUCCCUCGUGAGCUUAUGAACCCCACUACAUGCCUGGUGGAUUGCAUGAGAACCUCAAAAAGAAAAGCAGUUCCGAUGUUUAAAAAUGGUCAGGAGCAGCCUUCAUGUGAGGAAUGAGCAUUGCCCCAUGGUGGGAUCCUGCAGAGAUGCAGUCCGCACCUGGCUGAUGAACGCUGGUGCCUUUGGCUGGCCCUGGAGAGCUUUGGCUGGAAGGAAGAGUAGAAAGUGGUUUUCUGGAUGCUUGCUUUGAGUUCAUUAGAAGAUGGCCCAUUUGAACGGAAGGUCAAACAGAGGAUGGAGCCUGCCUGUCCCCAGCGUGCCCUCUGCCCUGGCGGAAAGAAGGCUGAAACAUGUUACCUUUGUUCCCUGAGCAGCCGGAUGACCUUGUCCCAGUUAAGUGUGAAUCCUUGAAGUGUACGAGCUCGGCACUGAACCCAACGCUCUGCAAUGGCAGCAAUGUCCCUCUGUUACUUGAGUGCUGGCUCAUGGAGGAAAGAAUGACUUUCCAUUUUAGAGAAGACUGGAAGGUAAGUCCUUAAGCUCACCAAAGUAUGUUUGAUUACUUCUCUUAAUAGGAUGAAGAAAUAAUUUCUUCACCUGGAAGGUUUUAGACUUCACAGUAGACAAUUUCUGCUUUUAAAGAAAGAGGUUUUACUGUUCCACCAGCAAAAUUUGAAACAUAAUCUGAGUAUGCUUUCUCUCUCUUUGUGUGUGUGUGUGUGUGUGUGUCUGCAGUCAGUAACUUCUCUUUUUCAUUUUCAUACAAGAUACUAUCGCAAUGUGUAUGUUGUUAUGUAGUGUACUACCAUAUGCUAUGAGAUCUUUUGCAAGGCAGGUGCCAACCUUACCCCCAGGCAGAAGAUAAUAUUUCAAGCCUCAACAACUUGCCAUAACCACUGUGCUAACCACGGUGCACAUUCACUGUCUACCUAAUCAAAUUCUUGCUAUACAUCACAUUAAUGCUGUGCAGUAGUUACCACAGGUCUUGGGUUUAGAGGAAUAUGUUUUCUUAAGAUUUGAAAAAAGUAUGAACUUGACAGAAAGAGUCCAUCUGUUCAAAGGUUAUGCAGUGCCCACUGAGAUUAUUAGUGAAGGUUGCCAUCUACUCUGAAUCCAGGCUGGCAUAGCAGUUAUGUUGGUAUGAAGUUGUGAAAGACUGUUGAGUUUGUUUUUAUCACAAAUGUUCUCCAUAACUCUCUUCAAUAACUCUUCAAAGCUGUUUUUUCAAGGUGAAUACAGAAUAAGUAUCAUUUGACUGUAUCGCAUAGUUGUCAUUGAAGAGUAGCAACACCAUAUCCAAGGGGUUUUUAGUUCUGCAAAAAGCAUACACAGGGAUCUGCAUGAGAAGAAGUGGAAGCUUUCCAAAAAAGUAAGCUGACAAAGAAAUCAAGUAUGUAAUAAAAAAAAGUGAGCAUCAAAGCCACCAAGCUCUUUCUCAAGGGUGCCUUCUUAUGCAGGUAUAUCCUAUAUAGUGCAGCUUAUCCUUUCAGUGGCUUUUUUUUCCCAACAUUUCUUUUUAUAUUAUUUACAGAGAAGAACAUUACUCAUGUUUAAUUGAUAAAUACAGAUAUUUUUCUUCAGCUGAAGAAAAUAAUACAUUCCAUUGGUAAUUUGUUUUCUGUAGGUUGUUUAAUAACUAAAAUGAUGUUAUUAAACCUACAAUUUAGCAUACUUAAAACAAUAUAUAUUAUUUUAUUUCACUUUACAUUCAGUGAAAUUUUUCAGACUUAAAGAUCCUGAAGAGAAUAAUAGGACUAUGUAAAAACAAUCCAAACUUUUGGAGUUGGGAUGAAAGAAAUUUUAAAGAAGAAAUCAUUGGCAGUGGAGUAUAUCAGUAAUGGUAGUGUGUUUCAGGGGGGGUGUGUAGUGGCAAGGAGAAGAUAGGAAAGUAUUUUUACGUAAGUGCCAUUUUAGUAAAAUUAGCUGAAUUCUCUUUCAUAUAUACUAAACUUCCACAGGUAUUGACAGAGGAGAAUUAGGCCCUGCUAUUUAACACAUGCAGUUUUCUAUGUUUAUCUCUUAGCAUUUUGCUUUUACAAGCACAUCUUAUGCUUUUACAAGCACACUUUCCAACAGCUAUCAUGCAAAACACUGUGUAUUUUAUAUGACUGAGAUCAUACCAACUCAUUUCCGUUAAAAGCCACCAAUUUAAUUCCUCCUCCCUGCUACUUGACCUAGGCUCCUUCUGAACCGUUCAGCUGCGGUAACAACUCAAAAGGAAACAGAUAAUGAUGGUAAACUGGGUGUCAUCCUUCUCUUAAUGUAUAGCCAUUGUAAUACAGAUACAGCAGACCAACAAUGACUCAGUAACACCAAGCCUGCAAUUUUGCUGUGUUUGCAAUUUCCAGGAAGAAAAGCAGCUCACGAUUACAUGUAUUAAACUUUCAGAUGAUGUUGAAAUUAUGAUGUUACAUCAUUUAUAUUAUCAGUCAACCUACAGGGAGAGAACGUUAGGUCUUUAUGUGGCCCAGGUGCACAUUUCUUAUAAUUUAAUCUGCACAAAGCAUCCUCAUUUCACAAGAGAACUCUAAUUCAUUCUGUGAAAAACCACAGCAUGCCCACUGUCCUCCCCCUGGUGCAGUCAGUAAAUUACAACUAACAGUUCAUAACUGUUAUCUGCAUUUAAUCUAGCGCCCUUUGCAGUGAGUUCAGCCAGCUUCACUCUACAAGCCAGUGACAUUAUAUAGAAUGCCAUGAAUUACCUUCAUGGAGAUCAUGGAUAGCAAAAGGGUCUGCUUUAGAAAAAAAUAAAAAUAAUAAAUAAAAAUAAUAAAAAGCACACACAGCUAAUUGGUUUUAGACAAAUGUGUGUAGGAAAAGCAUUUGUAUAUGGUUUUCUGAGAACCAAAUCUCAGUUUAAAGAGGAUACAUCAGCAGUAGGAGAGAGCCAACUAUCAUUUGCCUGCCUUCCUCUCUGUUUCUCAUUGUCUUCCUUUUGUUUCUCCAUACUUUCCUUGCCCAGUCUGUCACAGGCCAAGGAUCAGGAUGAUGGGGGAAACUGAACUUUCCUCUUGGCCAGAUCCCACCAACAGCAUCAACGUUGGAAACCCAGGAGUACAGCGUUGGAAAAGAGGGAUUAAUUCCUCUGAGUUAACAUCUAAGGCAAGUGUGUCCAACCUCUGGUGUGCAAGUCAUGAAUAGCCCAGGACAGCUAGUGACAUGGCCCCACAAGAUCUUAAUUUUUUAUCAUUAUUAUGUGACUUUUAGUGAUACUUUUCAUUUGAGUCAAUUGAAUGUAGCUCAAACACGGACUGCAUAGUAUUUUACAACUCAAAAUAUUGUCGCUGAAAGGGUGCAGGGCAGAGAUAACUACACCUCUUGUGCCCACCGUUCACACUCAGUCACCUUGAAACCUUUGUGUGUAACACAUUGCAUGCACUUGUGCCACUUGGUGAGUAAAACACAGUGAUUGUGAUGUGUGUGUACUUUGAAGACACGUACGCUAGACUGUAGUCAGGCAAACUGAAGAAACAGGAAAAUCUAUCAAUAGAAAUAUGGAGAGUAAAUUUUCUCAUUUCGAAUUUUAUACUUUGGCAGUAGAUGGAAGUAUUGAUGCUACAGGCAUGGUUCAACUUGCCAUAUAUAAUAGAAGUAUUGAUUACAAAUAUAGCAUCACUGAAGAAAUGACAUCUUUGGUGCCAUUAAAAGACACAACUAAAUCUCUUGAUUUGUACGAAGCAGUAGAAAUUACAUUAAAGAGAUUUUCUUUAACUUUUGUCAACAUAUAACAUAUAGCUACUAAUGGGCUCUCCUGUGAUGGCUGGUUUAAAAAAAAAAGAAAGAAAAAAGAAAGAAAAGAAAGAGACUUCUAAAUAAUAGGAGAUAAUGCAGUUGAUGUUUGCAACUCACAUUUGAUGAAAUAUUGCUGCAUCAGAUAUCAGGAAAAUUUAUGUGCAAAAGCCUGAAAAUUGAUAAUGUCAUGCAAAUUGUCAUCAAAACUGUGGAUUUCAUAAAGUCCAAAGGAUUGAAUCAUCGCUGAUUCAAGGAGUUCCUUAAAAGUAUGGAUUUUGAUUGUGGGAACAUAAUUUUCCUUUCUAAAGUAAGAUGAUUAAGUCAAGGUAAAAUGCUGAAAACUUUGCAAAGUGAAAUCAAGACAUGUAUGGAAGCAAAAGGAGAAUCUGUGCCAGAACAUGAAAGAAGAAAAAUGGCUCACAGACUUAAUACUUUUGGUGGAUUUGACUACUUGUUUAAAUGAGUUAAACAUGUGUCUUCAAGGUGAAAAGCAACUGAUCUAUGCAUGUUUCCAGCCAUAACAGUAUUUGAAAUGAAACUUAAAUUAUGGCAAACUCAAGUUAUGGCAAUUUUUUUGUUUGUUUGUUUGCAUUUGGAUACAUUAACACUGUCCUGUGAAAUAUUGCAGCUAGGCUUUCUGUUUUGAUAAAGAUAUUAGAGAAGAGGUUUCAGGAUUGCUGAAAAAACAAUCAAUGUUUUGGUUUAUUUGUGACUCCAUUUUUACUUGACAGAAAUAUAUUACCCGCCAUUUUCAAAUGGAAUGUAUAGAACUGCAAUCAAACAUUCAAAUCAAAGAAAAAUUUGAUCAUGUCUCUUUACUUUUUUAAAACCUAUCUUAGCAGGCAAAAAUAUUCCUAACUUCACAAGCACAUCUUAUUCAUGUCAUCACUUUUUGGCAGUAUGUACAUUUGUGAGCCACAAUUUUCAAGGAUGAAGCACAGGAAGAGUAAAAUUUCAUCAAAAAUCUCUGAUGAACGCCUUGAUAGUUCACUAAGAAUGGCAAAUCACUGCCAUCAAACCAGACUGAUGUGUCAGUUUCACAAAAACAAGGUCACAUAUCCCAUUAAUUUUAUGUUUUUAUUGACUUCUAAUUUUUAAUACUUCUUGUUUUCAUAUAUUUAUUGGUACUUAUAUAUGCAAAAUCUUUUCUAUAUUUCAUAUGCUGCCCAUGACAAUUCCUCUUCACUCAGUGUGGCUGAGGCAAGCCAAAAGGUUGGACAUUCAUGCUGUAGAGGAUUGGGAAGCAUUUUCUAAGCAUGCAAAUGUGAUAGAGGGCUGGAAGGUUUGCUUUUUCAUUAUUUUUAUUAAUUUGUUUUUUGUAUUUAUUCUACCUUAAAGGUAUAUGAGCUAGCUUCCAGUGUGAAUAUGUGCUAAUUCCUUUCGAAUUUCUGUGAGGGGCUUAGGAGAAGGCAGAUGACUGUGGAAAGCCAUCUGUCAGAGUAGUGGGGUGCUUGGGAAAAGCAAGCUUGUGUCUGUACACCUAAAAUGUCCCCCAUAUUGCACCAUCUGAGAAAGAUCCUUGCGAUUGUAUGCUUUUAGAGGUGGAAGUACCUUUGUUAUAUUACUCAAAAAUCAUAAUAAAAAGAUUAAGGAUGCUGUUUUGGAACCUCUCCAAAGAGGAGUUAGAUGGUCAGCUCUCAUUAAAAACUGGUGGGAAAAGAGGUGCCAAAAUCCUGGCUUUAAAAUCAUAAAUCUACCUGCACUAAACAAAAGCAAGAGAGAGCUGAGAAAGACAAAUGCCUCUUUAGUUGACUGGAACUAGCUGAUUCCAUGUCAGGUUCAUAGGAUUUAUGAUACUCUUUAUGCUUUCUCAUCUUUGCCUACUCCAAAAUGAAGGGCAGGGAUGGGGAGAAAAAAAUCACCAAGGAAGUGUUACAGUUACUUUGUUUUUGUUUUGGUUUGGUUUUUAAUCACAUUCUUCUUUCUAUUUAAUUCAAGUUUGUUUUUAAAGGAAAAAUUUAAAAAACACUGAUGAAAGAUAUUUCCAGAUGAAGGAACUGCCAGACUUUGUGUCUCCAACCAUUUUACAUCUAUCCAGAAUUCACAAGAAGUGAUUAUCAUCAAUGAGUUAAGAAACAACAACAACAACAAAAACAGAACUGAAGGAAAUCAUUAGCAAUGGCUCCUAGAAAUCACCAGAUAAGGAGUUUCAUAUCCUCUGUAUGGCAUAUCUUCAGGUUGUAGCACAUCAGUAGCAUGGAUCUCAACCAAAGAAAGAUCAGACAGUUGUGAGUGAAUGGAAAAUGAAAGGACAGAGCUGCAGAGAACAUUUUGCUCUUCUACAGCAUUUGGCUGCGAUGUUGGUCAGGGACGUUAUAGCUCCUCCAUGUGUUUUUACCCCAUCAGAAGUUCUCGUUUCCGGAAGUUUCUUGAAGAUAUGCAUAACUCAUAAAGUAGAGCGCAGCUUUGGAAGAAUGAGUUGACACAGACAAGGUAGCAUUCAAAAACUACAACUGAAUUAUACUGCUGCUGGAGAAAUGUGAGCCAAAAAGAAUUCAUCUUGAUAUUCCAAUCAUAAGCAGUGAAUGCAGAGUUUGCUGGUAAUGGGCCUCCUUGAAAGCUGAAAAGGGCCAUGCUGAGAAUGCAGGGAAAGCGAUACUGAAGACAAGGAUGUUUGUGGGACAAGAAGCAAGGCAUACCAUAAUAUUACUCCCAUUCUCCUUGGACCACCGAUUUCAAGGAUGUUCGAAGCAAGAUACAGCUGCCUCUCCGCAGUCUGUUCUACAGGCAUUUAGAAGAAAUGGAAAGAAGGAAUACCCCUGAGGUGGAGGUCAUCCCUGCUAGAUCACAUUUGCCUGCUCUGAUUCACUCUCAGGAGGAGCACUGCAAAGAGAAGGUACCUCUUCAUACAGAUCUUGCUGGAUACAACUGGAUCAAUUGAACUUAUGUGAGAGAGAGGUACAAAGGAAGUAAAUGCAGGUACGUAGAUAAUUUACAGGAAAGUUUAGCCAAAGUAGCUAAGUUUUUACUAACAUACAAUUAGCUGAAAGUGAUGGAUUUUCUUCAAGUGUUGGGUAACUUACUAGUUAAUACGCUGGACCAUUUUUCCUGAAUAUGUUCAGAACUGUGUAGGUUUUUGAGUCUUCUAUUUCUAAUAACAGACAGAGCAAAUUUUAAAGGAGAAGGAAAAAAGCAAAACAAAACACACACACAUGCAUACAAAAAAUGCAAAAACAAAAACAGCAACAAAAACCUCCAUUGGUGGGUUUUGGAAUCUCUUAAUCCUAUUUUUGCUUGUCUCAAUACCAUGUGCAUUUCCUGAAGGGGCUUGUGUGCUGAUCUGCACUAUUACCAUAUGUUCUACAUAUGAAAAUAAUUCGGUGAGAGUAGUUGUCUAUGUUUGUAUGCGGUGCAUAUACACAACAUACAAACACACACACACACACAUUCUUAUUUAUACUCAUAAAUCAUUGCUUUCAAGAACAGAUGCCCUUCUACUGCUCUGUACCUCAGUGUUUCUACACUCGAGAGUGCCUUAAUUUGGAAAAAAUUGCAACUGUCACAGCUCUGCUGCAGUAAUGGUUUUGUAAGAACCAACUUAAUAAAAACAUCAAGCCUCUCUGUUCCAAACAAUUUUAUUAUAGUUAACAACUCAGCCAGUUAUCAAAUAUGUUGUCACCAAUGCACUCUGUCUUCGUGAAUGAUGACAUGGACGAGCCCUGGAUUUCUGUAGUGCUUUACACAUAUACACAGUGCCUUACAGCUGUGUAGCAGCGUUUCCUUAAGGAAUAAAACUGCACAGGAAGUAGAUAGAUGAACCAUGUGAUAACUAUUUUUUGAUGAAAAGCUUCUACAGACAUCAAAUUAGUUUACCUGAAAUAAUUUAAACAACAGUAGAAUAAUUACAAAGUCCACUGUCUGGACCUUGACUUUUCUGAAACAAGCAUACAAUUUUUAAUAAUCAUGACCUUCACCUUCAGCUCUGACCUUUGUCUCUCCAAAACAUACCCCUUUGCUGUAUAUGCAUGGAUGUCUUAACAUGAAUAACCUCCUUAAUGUAGAUACUUAUAUAUCUAAACUUCACAGAGACUUUUAUGUGCCUUGAAUGUAGUUUCUAUGUAAAGUGUGUGUUCAUGUAAAAGCCAUAGUUUUCCACUUAGUACUUUUUUUCAUUAAAAGCACAUUGAUGUCACCUGCACUUUGCCCAGUGGUAAAUCUCUGUUUGAAAUAUGCUGCCUUUUUAUUGUUAUUUUUCAAGAAUAUGCUACAGAAAUGUUCUCUGUGCAUCAGAUGAACAUGGAGCUGGGUAUUAUGCUACACAGCCUUGUACUGAUAUGCAGUUUUCCUCCACUGUUUAAAUGUCUGAUAUUUCAGGGACCAAUUGGUUUAGAAAUUGAAGCUAAGAAACGUUGAAUUGAGAACUGUGACAAAAUGUCAGUUCUGUAGAGUUUUACCUUUAGAAAACACAACUGAGUUUGACUCACUAUGUUUUCUGGUAACCAGCGAAUAGAAAAUGUGUUCUUACUGAUUUUAUUUUAUUUUAUUUUAUUUUAUUUUUUUCCUAUCUCCAGAGACACAUUCAGUGUAUGGUAAACUAAAGCCAUUAUAUUAUUCCAGAAAACAGAUGUGAUAAUUAAGAACAGGAAUAAGUUUCAAAAUUCAAUGGAAAAAAUAGUUGUCAAGUUUAUUUCUGAAGAGAAGCACAAACAAAAUGCAUGCCAAUGUGUGGAUGAUUAAUGGGGGAAUUUCCAAAGUCUUUCCAUUAGUUCCUUUAUACUGCUGUACACAAUCAUGCAUGCUUUGUAUGGCCAUCAUAACUUUACGCAAUAUACUUGACCAUAAUGCCAAUCAACAGUUUCUCCUGGCAAACAGAAAGUGUUAAGAACUUCAAUACAAGAAGACUUUUUCUGCUUCAGAUGGAAUGGAUUCUGUUUGUCAUUAUUCACUUCCUCCUCAACUUGCUCAGUGUGCAUCUAAAUUAAUUCCUGUCACUUAGGUGCUCUCUUGAUAAAUACACGAUCUAUAUUUAAUGUCUCUUUAUUCUCAUUUUAUUAUACUUGUAUGCAGUAGUGAAAGAAGAUAACGGGCAGAGCAGUGUACCACAGCAGAGAAUUUGAUAUUGCUCCUUUUCACUUUUUGGUGGAACAGCUAUAUUUAGCAACACAGACUGUCAGCCACAAAUUGCCUACCUAUGUGCUCACUUUUUCCAAUCCGUGAUAUAGAAUUCUCUGUACUACAUUGAUAAAUAUCACCACGUUUCACCCAUACAGCUAUAGUAAUUGUUUCCAUAGAAACUGAUUAAUUUACAAAUGUUCUGAACUGGAAGAUUAAUUGGAAGAGGAGCAGAGGCGUAAAUCCAGUAUAAUAGGUGCUUGUGUGGGUGCUGUAAGGCUUUUGUUGCCUGUGCCAUAGGCAGUGCUUUAGUUAAGGAAAAUGAGGGGUUGAAAUUCAAUAUUUUAGGUGAGGUGUGAUUUACAAUUGCAAACAUAUAGGAGUGCAGAAGUCAAAAUAAUAAACCUUUGGUAAAUUUGCACACUCCUCCAUUUGCUACAUAUAAUUAUUUCCUGUCUGUGGUAUUAAUUCCUUGUGAGUAAAAGUUUCUCAUAGCAUGUCCUGCUUCAGUGUUGCUAAGUUCACCUAUUGAAUGCAGUUGGUUGUGUGGUGUUAGUUGUUUUUCUUUGUUUGUUUUAUUUAUGUACUUUGUCUAAAAAGCCAUUGAGUUUUUCUGUUAUGGGCAAGGAAAUUUAAAAGUUCCCAUUGUUUUUCAGUGCAGUAAAAAUAUAUUGAGAACUUCCAGUGCAUGCAGGCUGCAUUUAGCAUAAACAGGAAUCACAACAAUUGCUCGUUGUAAAUGAAAAAUCACUUGAAUUUAUGGCAUUGUUUUUUUGAUGUUUCUCUUCACAAAGAGGAAGAUAUUGCUGAGGCUACGAUCAUGGAUUUCCUUGCAAGACUGUCUUCUAGGCUCUUUGUUCUCUUUAGUUGGUGCAAAGUAGUUAUGGUAACUUACAGUGCAAUAAUUCACAUAUCCCACAAAGUUUAUUUGUUUGCUAAAAACAAACUACCUUUUUCCUCCCAGUACUUUGAAUCUCUUCUCGGGCACGCCAUUAGUGAAGUGCUUUCUUUCCAAAUCUGGAAAAAAAAAACAAAACACCAUCAAAUUGAGACUUAAUUUUAAGCUAUUUCUGAACGGAAGUAAUGAUGAAAAUAUGAAUGUUUCACCACGUUGUGAAACAUACAAGUAACUUGGAUUUAAAAACCUGUUUUUACAGCCUGUGCUUUCUAUGUUUAUGUGCUCAGGUCUUGGGGCAGCGAAGGACCCCUUACCCAAACUGUAGGCGCUACAAAUGAGCAAUGCAGUCUGGCCAAAUCUCAGUGACCCCCUCCUGCAGAGCUCAGGCUGGGCACUGUACAUUCCUUUCUGAUACUUUGGUGCUCCAGGAGGAUUUCCAAAAUCCUUUUUCCUGGGUUGGGUGCCUUAUUGAUGUCAAAAAACAAUGAAUAGAAUAGAUAUAGGAGAAAAAGAGGCAGGCACUGUGGGCUCGGUUUCAGGUGUUCAAAGACUCAUAGAAAAAGAUUCAUUCUGAAAAGUGCAUGCAAAACAUGAUUAUUUGGAAAAACAAUUAUUUGGAUUCAUUGAUGUUUAACUAUUCAGAGGGCAUCACUUGAGUUUAUGAAAAGUCAGAAAAAGUGCAGGAGAUACUAGGAUGGAUGCAAGUUUGAGGAAAGUAUCUUUGUUUAUAUUCUGGGAGAUGGGAAAAGGUGACCUCAAUUUUGAAGUUUCUGCUUCAGGACAAUGUUAACGGCCAGAUCAUUAUGUUGCAUAAAAUCUUUUUACAGCAAUAUGCUAUUUCUAACUUUUUAAAAUAUUGUGCAGGCAUAAGGACCAAAUGCCACAAUGGUUUGUUAAUAAAAUUGCCACUUUGCCUAAUACAAGACUAACUCAAAUAAUGUGGAAAACAACAUUUCAAAGUCUUUCAAAUACCCCUUCCUGAAGUAUACAUGUAAUUAAGGCUGACUGAUCUUGCAGUUAGUUAUAGUAGGUGCUGAAGUUAUUUUCUUCCCUGACAAAAGGCAGAAUGGAUGAAAUCCUCUCAGAGAUUUCCUGAUAAUGGUGCAGAUUGUGUCUUUGAAUGAGAGACCCUGAAGUUAUACAGCACUGAUACUCCAGCUGUUCACCUUCUAAUCCCCCAGGUCAGGAAUCGGUCUGUGAUUCACAGGCUUCUGCUGUCCAGGCAUGCACAAAACAUACAGUCUCUCCCCAUUUUGAUAUUAGGCUGCCUUUGUACUUGCGAGCUGAGCCUGGUUUCAUGCUGCAUCUCUUCUCAGAACACCUGCAACUCCUUUAGGUUGUUGUAAUUCCACAGCACAUCACUCUAUUUUGCCAGCAAAAAUAUUGAGUUCAGGCACAGCUGCAUCAAUUAGCUCCUCAAGUCUGCAAAUAGUGAUACUGGUGACAUUUUUUUGGAUGAAUGAGGGACCUACUGGCAAGUACAUAAAUGAAAUGAUCAACAUUCUCUUUCAUGUUUCUUUGUGUUUAAACAUUCUUUUACCAUCGUGUACUUUGAAAGUGACAGUCUUCUGCCCUUAGCUCAUAAAACACUAACAAAUAUUUUGCAUCUGUCACUACCAUGCUUCAUAGAUGCACAGAUGUACAUGCUGAUUAAAUAUACAAGGGCUGCUCUGAAAGUUAUGCCUCCUACUUUAUUAUAUUGGCCCAUGAGAUAAAUGUUGGUGUUACGGCAGUAAAGGUUGAACCUUCCCAAGAAUAUUCUGUUACAUUUUGCUGCCAUGCAACAGAUGGCAGCAGAGGGGCAGUGUGACAAAAUGGCAUCUGACAUGGAAGUGCAUGUGAAAAAAGGGGUGUUAUUGAAGUCCUCCAUACAGAACAAAUGACACCCACUGACAUUCAUCAACACUUGCUGAACAUCAGUGGAGACCAAACAAUGGAUGUGAGCGCAGUGAGGCGGUGGGUGGUCUGUUUUAGCAGUGGUGACAGUUAUAUGAAAGAUAAGUAUGGCAUGCAAGCCCUUGGCAAAAAUGCAUAGCUAAUGGUGGUGCUAAAAAUAGCUUUCUGUAGCUCAGAAUUCUCUCCAUCAAAUAGUGUUAUUGUGCUCUUUGUAUCUGUUGUAGUUUCCAUGGAAAUUAAUGGGAGACAUUACUUCCAGGGUGACCUAUAUGUAUAAAUAUGUAUUUACCUUGGUCAGAGAUAACUGAUAUUUUGUGAUACAAACUACUUUAUUAUACAACUAGUGUCUUAUGAUCACUGAAUUUCAUUAUGUUGUUGUUAUCCUGUGCUGUUCCAGAUAGUUUCUCAUCUUGUUGUCUUUCCACAGAUACCCAGCCAAAGCCAAAGGAACUAAAGCUCACUGUAUCAUUAGGAGGAUGAAUCCCUCCUGUUGCUUUAUUUCUUUUCCAUUUGUUUGUUUUUUCUUUUUGUCUUUUUUGUUUGUUUUUGUCUUUUCUCUUUUUGGUAACUAAAAUCCAGAUCUACUAGGACACAUUUUGAAGAAAAAAAUGUUGGAAUGAUGGGGAAUAUAUCCAUCAACAAGAUGAGGAAAAUAGGAUCAAAGCCCAGGAAAGAGGAAGUCAGUUGGGAGGGCUGUGCAGGUUAAUGUAGAGAUAAAGCAAAUCUUCUGAACGUUUGCCCCUAGCUGGAGCCCUGAGAGACAGGAGAGUAUACAUGCAUUAGACAUCUACUCUACCCGGCUGAUUUCAGGCAAUGAUUUGGAACAGAAGAUAUGAAGAUAUGAGCUCUGCCCUGCUUGGCUUGACACAGAAAAGAGAUUUUCUGUUGAUAUCACUGUUGGGUAGAACUGGUGCUUGACGUUUUCAUUAAAAUAACAGAUACAGCUCUACUUGCUGCUGUAGCUGCAAACUCCCUUGUUUAUAUUGCCUCUGUUUUACUUUCAGGGCAGGAACAUCCCCUUGGUCCUCAGACUGUUUAGAUUCAGGGAAGCAGUGAAUGUCAGUGUGUGUGUAUGUAUUCAGUUCCCUCUCUGUACAUUUAGAAAUUGUAAAGGGAAAUUUAUUGUGAAGAGGGAAAAAAUAUAGGACUGGUUUCUGUCCCUGUGCUAAUAUCAUGGUAUUAACAUAGGUGAAUUGCUGCUGGUUGAUAUGAGCCUGGCUUCCAAGAGGACAUUCUUGUAGCACCUUGAUUGCCUGGGCCACCCCUCCAAGGAGGCUCAGCAGGCAGCCUCAGCCUUUCUUGUUUGCUGUUUUGUUGUUUCAGUUCUCAGCUGGAGAUUAUUUCUCCUUUCUGUCUCCUCUUGAUACAUGAAUGUGCUGUGUCAGGCUUGCCUUCAGGUCAGUGUCCUGUGCAGGCCUCGCCAUGGUGUCAGCAGUAAGCAGAUCUGAGAAGGCCAAAGGCAGGGCAUCAAUGGAAAAUGAGCCUAACAAAUGGGAAGUCAGGCUGGAUGGCCAGCCAUAAUGUCUUUCCUCUCACGAAACAUGACAGAAAGGCACAACAGAAAAGGCUGCUUUUCCUUAUCUUUAGCCUUUCACCUGGGUUUGUUUUUUCCUCUGUCCUAAUGGUUCCUUGUCAGCUUUUUCUGUGUCCUGACUUCCUUUCCCCUGAGCCUCUCUUGAGAGGCAGAGGAACAGGGUCUGAGCAAGGCAACAGUGGGCAACAAGCUAUAAAUUUGACAGAUUAUGAACGUGCUUCAGUGUGCUGUGUAACCUGUAAAUCAAAACCCAUUUUAAGACCAGCAAUGAAUCCCUGUAUAUCAAAAAGCAGGAGAUGUUAGAAUAGGCAGUUGCUGCCUCUUACAAUAGCUCCUCCAGAAACACAUUGUGCAGAGGGUCUUGUAUUCAUCAUUAAAAUUGUUUUCUUUCUUCCAUUAGCUGCUAUGCAGCAUGUAUGUAUUAGAAGUCACGGCUAGUAUGACUUCAUUGAUAAAGCUCCAUUGUAUCCAACAUGAAAAGAGAAUAAAAGAGGUAAUAUUCUCUGGCAUAUCAUGUGGACUCUCUUUUUACAGCAUGGACUUCAAGGGACAGAAUUGUCUCUCGUUAGGUUUUCUUCUCUGCUACUGAAAUCCUGGUGAAAUCCAAGCUCACAAAUUGAGCUUAAAACUGAAAGGGAGUUGAGCACGUCAAAAUGCUUCAUAAACCAAAGGCACAGCAAAGUUUCAGAGAUAUGUUUAAAAUAUGUACAUCUCUUUGACUGAUACUUUAUAGUGAGAGACUGUCACUGUGGGCAGACAAAAAAUUACCCUUCUCUGCUUCAGCAGACCAACCCACAUCCUACCUGGUUAAGUUCACUCCCUCAGCAAGGGAUGUGGAUGGGGACCGCUUCUGGCAGCAAGGAAGGAAGGCAGCAGUCUGUAUUUCCCCACCUCCCUUCUCCUCUCCAGACUAAGAACAAGCACUGAAGUGCGGGACAUGAGGUAAAUGCAAUCGCUAUGAAUUAAAACUUCAGCUCCUUAAGUGCUUUUGUUACUAUUUGGUCAUCUGUUUAUUUUCCCAAGAAAGCUGAACUAUCCAGAGGAUGCUCUGAAAAGAGGGGCUACCCAGAAUUGGGUAUCUGAUGGGCCUGAUCUUGAAGCCAA
rnacentral:lncRNA from 1 species